rnacentral:rRNA from 1 species
GACGAACGCUGGCGGCGUGCUUAACACAUGCAAGUCGAACGGAGCACCCCUGAAGGAGUUUUCGGACAACGGAAGGGAAUGCUUAGUGGCGGACUGGUGAGUAACGCGUGAGGAACCUGCCUUUCAGAGGGGGACAACAGUUGGAAACGACUGCUAAUACCGCAUGAUGUAUCGGAAUCGCAUGGUACUGAUACCAAAGAUUUAUCGCUGAAAGAUGGCCUCGCGUCUGAGUAGCUAGUUGGUGAGGUAAUGGCCCACCAAGGCGACGAUCAGUAGCCGGACUGAGAGGUUGACCGGCCACAUUGGGACUGAGAUACGGCCCAG